UACGACAUAGUGUUAAUGCACCAGAUCCCAUUAGAACUUCGUAGUUAAGAGUGCUCAAGAUAGAGUAGUACUAGGAUGGGUGACCACUCAAGAAGUCCUAGUGUUUUAC
rnacentral:rRNA from 1 species